GAUCGCGGCGACGUGGGCGGUUCGCUGCCCGCGACGUCAUGAGAAGUCCACUGAACCUUAUCAUUUAGAGGAAGGAGAAGUCCUAACAAGGUUUCCGUAGGUGAACCUGCGGAAGGAUCAUUG
rnacentral:rRNA from 1 species